rnacentral:rRNA from 1 species
CAGUCGCCGCGGUAAUACGAAGGGGGCUAGCGUUGUUCGGAUUUACUGGGCGUAAAGCGUGCGUAGGCGGUGAGUUAAGUCUGCUGUGAAAUCCCCGGGCUCAACCUGGGAAUGGCAGUGGAUACUGGCAAGCUAGAGUGUGUCAGAGGAUGGUGGAAUUCCCGGUGUAGCGGUGAAAUGCGUAGAGAUCGGGAGGAACAUCAGUGGCGAAGGCGGCCAUCUGGGACAACACUGACGCUGAGGCACGAAAGCGUGGGGAGCAAACAGGAUUAGAUACCCCUGUAGUCCCUGUCUCUUAUAC